rnacentral:rRNA from 1 species
AACCUGCGGGUGCUUACACCAUGCAGUUGAACGAGUCCAUCCGAUCUUCGGAUUGGUGAAGACUAGUGGCGAACGGGUGCGUAACACGUGAGAAACCUGCCCCGGUCUCUGGGAUAACAGUUGGAAACGACUGCUAAUACCGGUUGCCGUCGGACCGUCGCAUGGCGGACCGACGAAAGGGUUACCGGAUCGGGAGGGUCUCGCGGCCUAUCAGCUUGUUGGUGAGGUAACGGCUCACCAAGGCAUCGACGGGUAGCUGGUCUGAGAGGAUGAUCAGCCACACUGGGACUGAGACACGGCCCAGACUCCUACGGGAGGCAGCAGUGGGGAAUAUUGCACAAUGGGCGAAAGCCUGAUGCAGCAACGCCGCGUGCGGGAUGAAGGCCCUAGGGUUGUAAACCGCUUUCAGCAGGGAAGAAAAUGACGGUACCUGUAGAAGAAGGUGCGGCCAACUACGUGCCAGCAGCCGCGGUGACACGUAGGCACCAAGCGUUGUCCGGAUUUAUUGGGCGUAAAGAGCUCGUAGGCGGUUCAGUAAGUCGGGUGUGAAAACUCUGGGCUCAACCCAGAGACGCCACCUGAUACUGCUGUGACUAGAGUGCGGUAGGGGAGCGGGGAAUUCCUAGUGUAGCGGUGAAAUGCGCAGAUAUUAGGAGGAACACCAGUGGCGAAGGCGCCGCUCUGGGCCGUAACUGACGCUGAGGAGCGAAAGCGUGGGUAGCAAA